GUGGGCUAGCGGGAGAGGAGCGCGGGUUCUGCCUUGGCAGCCUCGCACUCCUGAAAAAUUGGGAUCCAGGUGGCAAAGGGAGAGAUGGGUGGAUCCAAGACCAGCCUCGUUUUGCUUUCGAUGGUCUUGUUCAGCGGAACGUCCAGCGACCCUCAUUCUCUUUCCUAUAAUUUCACCAUCGAUCCUCGGCCCAGAGAUAAUCAGCUAUGGUGUGAGGUUCAAGGAGAAGUUGACCAAAAGGUCUUUCUCUCCUAUGACUGUGGUACAGCUCAGAUCAAGUACAUGAGUCCAUUGGGAGAGGAAGUGAAAAAUAUGAGCGCCUGGGAAGCACAGACUGUCACACUCAGAGACACUGGAGACUUGCUCCAGGGGCAGAUGCCUGAUGGUACACCGGAGAAUCACACAGACAAGGUGAGAUCAGGCCCUCUGAUCCUGCAGGCCAGGAUGACAUGCUGGCGUGAAGACAAUGGACACACCAGUGCAUCCAGGGAGUUUGGCUUCAAUGGACAACUGUGCCUCCUCUUUGACUCGGAGAAUGGACACUGCACAGUGGUUCAUCCUGGAGGGAGGUGGAUGAAAGAGAAAUGGGAGAAUGACAGGGCUGUGACCGACUUCUUCAGGAUGGUCUCGAUGGGAGACUGUCCGGCCUGGCUUCAGGCUUUCUUGGUGCGCUGGGAGAAAAUGUUAAAGACCUCAGCACCAUCGACCACAGUCCCCACUACAGUGCAGCCCACGGCCCCAGCCAGCAACCACAUAACCAAGAUCAUCCUUGUGGUUCUCGCCGUUUUCGUCAUAAUAAGCAUCGUAGCCUGGAUCCUUGACGAGAAGAGGAGACGGUGCUCCCAGGAAGCACGGCAGGUGCUCUGUUGUCCUGAGGAGUCAGUCUUUCCUUGGCUGCCUUUGUUUUCCUGGGUUCACUUUAGAGGCAAGAGAUGAGACCCAGGAAUUUGGAGCCUGCCUUCCUGUUAUGAUGACAAGGUGGCUGCACUGUUACUCCAG
rnacentral:lncRNA from 1 species